AUGCGGUCGCCGGUGAGCCUCUGCACCGGCGUCACCUACGAGCGCACCUCCAUCCAGCGCUGGCUCGACUCCGGGAACACCACCUGCCCGGCUACCAUGCUCCCGCUCCCCUCCACCGACCUCGUCCCAAACCUCACCCUGCGCCGCCUCAUCGCGCUCUGGGCGUCCACGGCCGCUCCCGCUUCUCCUUCAUCGUCCUCGCCACCCGCGCCGUCAGCCGUCGGGCCCACGCCGGCCGCCGCCGCUUCCGAGCUCCUCCGCCGAGUCGCCGCGCCCGGCGCCGACCCCUGUCCCCCGC
rnacentral:lncRNA from 1 species